AUGAUGAAGCAGCGACUGGCCUGGGAGAUUCGUGCCCUGCAGAGCAGCAAGGAGCAGCUGCUCACCGAAGGUGGGACUCCCGUGCGCGUUGCGGCGGAGCUGGGGCGCCCGCGGAAUCUCCCGGCCCCGCCCCUUACGCCCCGCCCACCCACAGAGAGGCAGGCGCGGGCGAAGCUGGAGGAGGUUGAGCAGCGGCUGCGCUCGCCGCCCGAGGUCCCGGGCGCCUCGGCAGAGAAGGACGGGCUGAAGGCGGAGCUGGAGAAACUCGGGGGCAGGUCCCCGCCCAGGCCCAGAACACCCCAGAAGUCGGAGCCAGCAAAUGAAAGGUAGAGCUCAGGAUGCUGGCAGGACAGGCCGCGAAGAGCGGGCGGGAUGUCCCCGGAAUCCCUCAGGGGGUGGGGGGUGGUGAGCAGGUGCGGGGCGUCCCCGGGGGGUGGGGACAGGGAAAAGGCGGCACGGGCCAGCGUGGACGGGCACCAGGGUCCCGCAGCCUGAUUUCCGGCCCCUACAGGCCGGCCGGCAAUUCCCCAGUAGGAGCGACCUGGCACUACCGGCGGAGCUGGCCCUGACGCCCCCCUAGGUCAGUAGGAUCCACCGGUCCUCCCUCCCUUCAAGGCCCGCCCGGAAAUAAAGGCGACGUUUAACCGACUGCCCUGCACCUCUCCGGCUGAGUCUGUGCUCCGGGAACCAUCGGGGACCGUGUGGUUCCUUUCCGCUCUCCCAGGGAAGGGG
rnacentral:lncRNA from 1 species